ensembl:snRNA U1 U1 spliceosomal RNA
AUACUUACCUGGCAGGGGAGACACCAUGAUCAAGAAGGUGGUUCACCCAGGGUGAGGCUCAGCCAUUGCACUGUCGGCUGUGUUGACCUCUGCGAAUUCCCCAAAUGUGGGAAUCUCGACUGCAUAAUUUCUGGUAGUGGGGGACUGCGUUCGCGCUCUCCCCUG